AUGACUGAUGUCUCUGAACAGCCUGAGGCAGAUAUUAAGGAAAGAUGAGCAGCUACAGUGAACGUCCAGGGGUGCACUAACCACAAGCCUUGCUGUCAGAAAGUACAGAAGCAGCUUCUUCAGGACAUCCCCUCAGACUUUUUUCUGUCGCCUGAGUAAUACCUUUCCUUUCUUUGUCUGCCAAGGAUGGAUGAUGGCAGAAUUCAUCAGCGUGUAGGACGUGCCAACACCAGAAAUUCCAUCAGAGGCAGUAUCAUCUCCCAGCCAACUUCACUCCUCACCAGGUACGGAUUCAGAGUUGGUUUUUGGAUGUGCUUGCUUAUUGUUACUAUAAGAAAGCCACCGUUUUUGUGCCUUGAUAGCUCUUCAAAACUUGCAACUGGACUUAGGAUAAACAGUACAUCUGCAGUUGACAUUCCAGAGUUUGCAGCAUAAACACAUUUUUUGGAGAUAAAAGCUAUUAGAUGGAUGCAGAAAUUGAUUUAAAAAGUCCAUCACCAACUAGAAACCCAACAAUACAUUCUCUAAAUUCCAAGACCUGCAGGAGCUGCUGCUGCUAAUGGUGUAUGUGAGUACCCUCAAGAUCUCUCAGGUUACUCUUUGCAGGAUGAGUUAUCAUACACAGGUGCUCAGGAACAUCCUGGUAAGUCAAAACCAAUUGCUUGUUUCUUUGGGAGAGAGAAGAGGACAUAGCUCAUUUCAAAUAGCAAAUUACAAAAGUCAGUGAUAAAACAGUAAACAAAAGGAACUAUUUUAGGAGAAGAGCAGAAAAGCCACUAGGCAGCAUUCACUUCCAUGCCAUUUUGGUUUUUAUGCAGUAGAACAGUUAUCCUAGCAAUUAAGUGCUGCAUUACUUGGUAUGCAGAACAUUUGAAGAUAGAUUAUUAAGGAAAGGGGACAGAAAACACACCACAAAGACUUACCAACACAUUGCACGUAGCUUUUUUUUUAACAGUGUAUAAGAAAAAUAUGCUGUGUUACCAUAACUAAA